UACAGAGGUCUCAAGCGUUGUUCGGAUUCAUUGGGCGUAAAGGGUGCGUAGGCGGCGAGGUUAGUCGGAUGUGAAAUCCCAGGGCUCAACCCUGGAACUGCAUUCGAUACUGCCGUGCUAGAGGACUGGAGAGGAGACUGGAAUUUACGGUGUAGCGGUGAAAUGCGUAGAUAUCGUAAGGAAGACCAGUGGCGAAGGCGGGUCUCUGGACAGUUCCUGACGCUGAGGCACGAAGGCCAGGGAGCAAACGGG
rnacentral:rRNA from 1 species